rnacentral:rRNA from 1 species
GUCGGGAGUUAGGAAAUGCAGGUGCGUUAAUAGCGCACUUGCUUGACUAAGGCUCCAGAGGAAGCCACGGCUAACUCUGUGCCAGCAGCCGCGGUAAUACAGAGGCGGCAAGCGUUGUUCGGAAUUAUUGGGCGUAAAGAGCACGUAGGCGGCCUUGCAAGUCAGUUGUGAAAGCCUUCCGCUUAACGGAAGAACGGCAUCUGAUACUACAGGGCUUGAGUACGGGAGGGGAGAGUGGAACUUCUGGU